rnacentral:rRNA from 1 species
GACGAACGCUGGCGGCGUGCCUAAUACAUGCAAGUAGAACGCUGAAGGAGGAGCUUGCUUCUCUGGAUGAGUUGCGAACGGGUGAGUAACGCGUAGGUAACCUGCCUGGUAGCGGGGGAUAACUAUUGGAAACGAUAGCUAAUACCGCAUAAUAGCAGUUGUUGCAUGACAACUGUUUGAAAGGUGCAAUUGCACCACUACCAGAUGGACCUGCGUUGUAUUAGCUAGUUGGUGGGGUAACGGCUCACCAAGGCGACGAUACAUAGCCGACCUGAGAGGGUGGACGGGCAAACUGGGAACGGGGCACGGGCCAGGAUUCUUAGGGGGGGAAGAGGAGGGGAACUUCGGGAAUGGACGGAAGGCUGACCGAGGAACGGCGGGGGGGGGGAGGAGGGUUUCGGGUCGGUAAGCUCUGUUGUAAGGGGAGAAAGAGUGUGAGAGUGGAAAGUUCACACUGUGACGGUAUCUUACCAGAAAGGGACGGCUAACUACGUG